UACGAAGGGGACUAGCGUUGUUCGGAAUCACUGGGCGUAAAGCGCACGUAGGCGGAUAUGUCAGUCAGGGGUGAAAUCCCGGGGCUCAACCUCGGAACUGCCCUUGAUACAGCAUAUCUUGAGUCCGAUAGAGGUGGGUGGAAUUCCUAGUGUAGAGGUGAAAUUCGUAGAUAUUAGGAAGAACACCGGUGGCGAAGGCGGCCCACUGGAUCGGUACUGACGCUGAGGUGCGGAAGCGUGGGGAGCAAACAGG
rnacentral:rRNA from 1 species